rnacentral:rRNA from 1 species
GUCCUUUUGCCUAUAAUUUAAGGUCUGGCCUGCCCACUGAUUUUUAAAUGGCCGUGGUAUUUUGACCGUGCUAAGGUAGCAUAAUCAUUAGUUUCUUAAUUAGUAGCUUGUAUGAAGGGUUAAAUAAGAAAGUAACUGUCUCUAUUUAAUUUUAUUAUAAUUUUAUUUUUAAGUUAAAAAGCUUAAUUGUUAUUAGAAGACGAGAAGACCCUAUAGAGUUUAACUAAAAUAUUAAUUUUAUUUUUUAGAAUUUUUAUUUAUUUUUAAUAAUUAGUUUUAUUGGGGUGAUAGAAAAAUUAAAUUAACUUUUUUUUUAUUUUUACAUUAAUUUUUGAAUUAUUGAUCCAAGUAUUUUGAUUAUAAGAUUAAAUUACCUUAGGGAUAACAGCGUAAUUUUUUUUGAAAGUUCUUAUUGAAAGGAAAGAUUGCGACCUCGAUGUUGGAUUAAAAUUUAUAUUUGGUGUAGAAGCUAAAAUAUUGGGUCUGUUCGACCUUUAAAAUUUUAC